rnacentral:lncRNA from 1 species
GCUCUCUUCACAAUCCGAGGAUGAGAAACUCUUGUUGGAUGUAAGUUGUUGAGGAUGCAAUGUUUCAUCUUCAAUGCUUGAAGCUCCUGAUAAAGGAGGAGUCAUAUGCUUUUGCUGCUGGUGUUGUGGACGCGUGAGGUUAUCAGACAUGAGACGCUCACAUUUCUGGAGAGCUUCGUCUCUUUCUUUAAUGGUUUUGGUUAAGAUGUCUUUGAGCUGGAUCAGUUGUUCAUCCCUUUUCCUUAUUUCCUCAUGAGCAAACAUCUUUGUUUGUUCGAGAUCUAGUGUUGUGCACAGAAGAGAGUGUCUUAAUUCUUCUGUAGUCUGUAAAUUUCACAGAAGUAGAAAAUAAAUUAGAAACACAAAAGAAAAAAAAAACAGAGGAAAAAAGUAUCUUAAAAUAAGCUAGAUGGGACAGAACAGAGGGAUCCCUAAGUUUGGUGUCACCUAGUUGCAUGCUAAGACAACUAUUAUAAAAAUAAUUCUAAAGACAUCAAGGAUUGAGUCACCUGGUUGCAGAUUAAGGCCACCAUUAUGUAAAAUCCAGUUGAGUCUUAGCAACUAGGUCUAGAUUCAGGUAUUUAUUUAUUUAUUAGAACAACCAAGAAUAGUAAAAAGAAAUUCCACAUUAAAGUUCUUGUUUUGGACAGACAUUAUGCACCCAUUUGAGCAAAAACAUGAAGAAGAAGAAGAAGAAGAAGAAGAAGAGCAUUGCUUUGGUGAAGGGAAGAGAAGAAACUCGACUUUAGAAAGAGAUGGAAUAAAUUUUACCUUUCCAUGAGAAAAGUAAGGCCAGCCAAGAAGAGCAUUGCUCUGGUUAUCCAUAAAUUCUACUAAACUGAGCUUUUGAUUCUCUUUUAAAAUUGUGUUAGAGAGGGAUAGAAAGAGAAUGGAGUCUAACUUAGGGAGGGAAGGACAUAUAAAUAAGUAAAAACUUGUUGGACUGUUUAAAGCAGAUCAAGCUUUUUCAGGUAUGUAGCUUUCUUCAAGAUUUCAAUAAUUAGUUAAAUAACUAAAAAGAAAAGUUAAAAUAAUAGCACAUGAUUGUAUCAUUUCUUGUAACAUUAUCUCAACUAACUCCACUUUAUAUUUUACCGCGCAAACUAUAAGAAAAUUAUUUAUCGUAGUAUAACUGUAUAGCUAUGAAAAUAAAAUGGCAUAACUCAAAUUCAAAGUAAUAUAGUUGACUCAUAUUCAAAGAGAAACUACGGUUUUUUUAAUGAAUGUUGAAUUUAUUCAACUCAAAAACCUCUAUGCAGUGCUUAUAACUGUGUGUAAAAAUGGAUUGAACUACAUUGAAAAAAUGAUCUUAAAUAAAAAAAUUUAAGUCUUCUCUCAUCUCGAAUCAAACCACAACUCCAAAGAACUAAAAUGAUUUUAAUCUCUUAAGUUUUUUGUAAUAUCUUUGAAUGUUCUUAAUAAAAUAAAGAUGUCUUUUUGUAUAAAUUAUUCGAAUCUAUCCUAAACACCUUAUCAAUAUACCUUUGAUACUAAACACUUCCCUUGUGGUUGUACCUCAUAUGUGUUUGUAAAUGCCACAUCCUCCCUUCUUUGAGAGAUUCAAUAUGAUUCCUUAACUUGUUUGUCAAUGAAAGAAACCAUUCGGGCUUGUCCUUAGGUGGAUCUCCAUGGUUUCGUCCAUUACUAGUGUUUUCACAAAAAAUAACGAUCUUUUAAAUACUUGGUGAAUACUUUUCUUAGUAUCUGAACAGUAGAAAGACAUCAAAAUAGUCAUUUUAAAUUUUUAUCCCAAUAUCGAAAAACGUUUUAAAUAUAUAACUGUUAUGAAAUAACUUAUAAUUUAUAGUAUCGAGAAAUUUAAAUAAGAGUAGAAUUUAAUACCCGUAGGAAGCAAAUAACACUAGUAUAAGGGAGAGAGUUUAUUAUAAGAAGGAAGAAGAAAAUGUAAUGAUUCUUUGAUUAUAAACUCUUGUUCUUGUUUUUGGUGUACAAAAGAGUGAGAUGAGUGAUGGUAUUUAUAGUGAACAACAAUACAUAAAAUAACAAAGAUAGUGCUUAAUUUGGUAAAUGAGUGGGUGAUCAUAGUGUUUGAUGAGUAGAUGAUCAUAGUGCUUGAGUUGGUAAAGGAGUGGAUGAUCAUAGUGCUUGAGUUUGGUAAAGAAGUGGAUGAUCAUUUCAAUGCUUAAUUUAUAACACUCCCCCUUGAUCAUCCAUCUUGUAUUACGUGGUGCCUCGUUAAAAACCUAGUCAUGGAAAACCCAAUGGGAAAAACCGUAGUAAAAGUAAAAAGAGUACAACUACGUAAGCUCCCCCUCGAAUGAGUAGUCAUAGAACCUUUAGAACAAUGAUAGAUUUUCAUCUCUCAAAUUGUAACAUUCUCUUUGGUUGUCUAUCUUUUGUAUGUUCUUUGUUGCCUCGUUAAAACCUUGUCAUGGAAAAACCCAAUGGGAUAAAAAAAAACCAUGAUAAGGAAAAAGAGUACAACCACACUUACUAUCAUAUUUCUUUCCCUGGAAACAAUAUCUUCAGGAUAUGCAUUCCAAUCAACUCUCUUCAGAGAAUUAAGCUUAAGAGAAUAAACUCUAUUCAUUUCUAUUAUGAUAUCUAGGGCCUUUAGACUUCUUGUCCAUAAUUCUCUUUUAACUUAGACAAUAGUUUAUUGGUCUAUUUGGAUUUCAAACCAAAUUUCUUACAUAUAAUCGUAUAGAAAUUCGUCUCGUACAUACGAAUUAUUCAUUUGUAACUAUAGAAGUUACUAUUAUGAUUUUCUUUCUUUUCAUAUGAAAUUACAUCUUUCAGUAAUGAAAAAGAUUAAUAAUUUUCUUAAAUAACACUCUUACGUAUGGUAUUUCAGGACCAAACAUAUACGAGCGUCUUAAAUAAAAUACUUUAAGGAUCUUUAUGAUAACAUCUCAGUUUUAGAUCUCCAGUUUAGAAUACAUAAAAACAAUAUAGUAUUGUCAAGAGUUUUCUUUCAAAAUAUAAUUUUUCUAUAACUCUUCAGGAGUUUUGAUUAUAUUCAAAUCAUGAUUCUAUUGAUUUAUAAUCUCUUGAUAAAUACAAAUGGAUACAUUUGUUAACCUUAUAAUAUUUCAUAUAUCCCAUAAAAUAGUUUGUUUCAAUUCGAUCGAAUAUGCAGAGUUCCCGGGAACAUGAUUUUGAUAUCAUCAAUCCUUCAUGGAUUAUACUUUCAGGGAUUAACAUUUUUCAAGUGGAUUGUUUUAUUCAAGUUCUUCCUUUAUUACCAGACUAUAAGGAACUUGAAACUAGUUGCAUCUACCAUAUGAAAUUAUGUCUCUUCACAAUCAAUUUCAUAUUGAUCAUUCUUUGUGUGCAACGGUUCAUUUACAUCUCACUUGUUUUACACCUUUUAGUGUAUGGACUACUGGUCCAAAUACUUCUCUAUUUCACAAGAAGUUUAUAUCUUUGUCUAUUGCAUCUUUCUGAUUUGGCCAAUCAUUUCUUUGUGUACACUUUUCAAUAGACUUUCUUUCAUGAUCCUCUUUCUCAUUUAUUAUAUCAACUGCUACUUUGCAUGUAUAAUAUCAUCGACGUCAAUUUUCUUAUCGGUUCCAUUUUGUUUCAUACAUGACAUAACUUAUUGAGAUCUCUUCAUUUGUCUCAGGUACCUGAAUUUUCGUCAGUCAUGUUUAAUUUCUCUUCUGGAGAUCAUACAAAACUAUAUUGCCUCGUUUUGACCAUUAUCAAUAUAUGCUCCUUUUUCAUUUACGAGGAUUUAUCUUUGGAACCAAUCUGUCUACCACCCUGCAGGCGUGACUAGCAGUUUGAUAUUGUUCUUGUAGAACAUUUAUUCUUAUUGGAGCAUUUACAGCUGGUAUAUGUGACUUGAUCACUAUAUUUAUAUGGGUCGUGUCUGGCAACUGCUUUAGUAAGUUUUGAAAUGAAUUAUCUUUUGGACUUCUAUUUCACAUUGUGUUUAGCCCGAGGAUCAAUGAUAAUUCAUUUCAACUUAUUUUCUUUUCCAGCUGUUUAUUUUCUCCCCCUUAUGUUGGAAGUACUAACUCACUUUUAGAAUUCAUGUAUAGCCUUACUUAUAUUUUUCGGGGAUGGCUCUGGAUUCUUAAGUGUCAAUAGAGAUUUAUAUCCAACAUAUAUUUCCAACCUCAUUUGAAAACACAUCUUCAUUUGAAGCUCUGUGGCGGAGCAACAUCCAACAUUCUUAGAUGAAAAUGAUUGGUUUCUGAUUCUAUACCAAUGAUGGGUAGAACUAGUGAAUAUUUAUUGGCUUGAUGCGAACCAGUGUUGCUCAAAAUGUUUAGCACUUAUCUCAGUGAAUGUGCUAUAGUCGUUAAAGACUUUAAGAAGUGAAUUCACCAAUAUUAUAAAAAUGCAUAGUGGGUGAUCAGUCCACUAACAUCUUCGUUAUUUAUGCCAAUAUCUUAUUUUGGCUGGUGAAAACCAUAUUACCCUUUUAUCUUAUGAGUAAGCAACAUAUGUCAAAUCAUUCGGAAGAAUCUUCUGGUUCUUAUAUGACUAUGCAUAUGACCUUUAAGUAUAUAUUCGCAUUAUUAAUGAACCAAAAUGGUCUAACUGAUUCAUGCCAAAUGUAAACUUCUAGUUUACUAUACAUUUAUCUUCAUUAUACUAAUCUUUGUGUAGUACAAUAUAUAAGAGGCUGUAGAUAUUUUCUCUAAAAUACUUAUACUGCUUUGAGAAUUAUUUCUGAUUGAAAUGUAUAUAUCAUUUCGUUUGCUUAUUGUCUCAACAUAAGUGUCUCAAAAUCUUACGGAUUUACUUUGAGAAAAAUUCAUCAAUCUUAGUUUUAGUGUAAACAUAAUCUUCUGGAUGUUUGACUUAUCAUAAAAAGUGAGAUUCUUUAACUCUUCCCCUCGAGAUUAUAAUACUACAGGUUUAUCAAUCUCGAAUGUAUCUCAUUUUCUUAAUCAACAACAUAUCCUACAUGGGUUAUGUAUUUUUCGUAGAUCCUUUUAACUUUUGAUACUUAUAAAAAUACAAUACCUUAAGAACUUUAAAUUGCAUUCUUAAGAACUUUAAAUUAAAUUUUUAUGUGCAGUAAUACUAUGUAUACUUCUGGAGCAUCAUAUAUAUCCUCUUUUUAAGCAUUCUAUAAGUUUUUACUACCUUGUAUUGUACACACAAUAAAUUUUCUUUCAUCUUCAGAUGAAUUCAUAAUUUCUUUUCUUUAUUACCAUGUUUAUUUUCUCAACUUUAAGUGAGAGUAUGAGUUCUAUAAAGAAACUCUUUGGACCUUGACCUCAUUUAUGCUCACGUCUAAAACCACUAUUUAUGAGUUUUUUAAAUGUCAUAUUCUCUUCAGGAGAAUGAAUCAUAAUCAACUAGACGUGAUUUAUCAAUAGAUAUUUUUCAAUAUAUAUGCAUCAUAAAAAAAUUUCUUGAAGAAAUUUUACUUUUAAACUUAACAUCCAACAUAGUUGGCUUUAUUUACAGACUUCAGGUCUUGUAAUCUUUAAAUGCAAAAUACAAAAUGAGCUUUAGGUAAUCACUUCAGGUGAUAAUACCUUUUUUAUAUAUAUUAUCUUCCAAAACUUAUGGAUCUUUUAGAGUCAAGCUUUAAACUUAAAAUCCUCAAUAUAAAUGGUAAUAAAAUCAAAAUAUUUCAAAUAUAUAUAAAUAUGUAUUAACAAAGGUGUCUUAUUAUAUCAGAAAAUAAAUAAAACUUUCAUAGUAAUUAUUAUAUAGACUAUAUUAUUACUCUCAUGCUUUUUAACAAAGUUUAACCUAUCAAUCAAUUUAAUGAACAAAUUUAUAUCACUGCCAACUUCAUGCAAAUUGAUUUAUCUAAUCAAGUUUGUUAAACUUGUAUAUAAAGCAUAAAAAUACUUAUCUUAUAAACAGAAGUAUAUCGGCGAUGAAAGUUUCAGCUGUUCACGUUUCUGAAUUGGCUGAUAACUUGUACAUAUCUUUCCGAGAGAAUACACAAUCCUGAAAACUUUAAAUUUUGCUCAUAUAAACAUGGCCAUUACAUUAGUAAAUAUCAACAUAUAAUCCAAAUUCUUUUAUGAUAUUAGACCAAAGACUAAUCGACUACAAAACUAACCGAUUACAAAUAAUUUCUUUUAUGAUGUUAGACCAUGAAUCAUAAAGUAUGUUUCCUUAAUACCAUUAAACCAUGAAGCAUAUUAAAGUAUAAUAAGCAAAAUUUAAUUCAUCAAAUAACUAUUAUUCUUACAUAUAGACAAGCGUUGAUAUAUAUAUAUAUAUCAUCGUCUAAAAUGACUAUAUAUAUAUAUAUAUAUAUUUAGAAUUUCGCAAUUUUAAAAUGAACCAUUUAUUAUGAACUUCAUAAUUUAAAAACCGUUUACAUUAAUCAUACAAGCAAUUACAAGGAGAAGCGAUGUAAAGAAAAUUAAACCGAUAAUCAUCUUAAAUUCACUCGGAGUAAAUUCUCCAUCGAAUAAACCAUAAAUAGAAACACAAAUAAAAAUGGCACAUAAAAACAAAAGUGCGCGAAUCAUCUUUCUUGAAAAAUCGGAGGAGAGCGAUUUUGAAAUUUUUGAGAGAAGAUGAAAUGUUUUGGAUGAUGAAAUGAAGUGAAAAUGAGUUGUAUUUAUAGAUGAAAAUUACUGUUCAUGACCGUUGGAGAAAGGGGAAAUUUUUGAAAAAAAUUCUUUGUGACCGUUGGGGUUAAAUCGAGUGCACCAAAAAUUAGUCCGAAAAUAUCGUAUUAAACGGUCAAUCAAAUCUAUAAAAUUUCAUAAAAGUGAAAAAUUAUGACAAUGAAAUAUUUAUGUUAUAUGACAAUAAAUCAUGCGACGGCUCAGCCGAUCAAUGCAUAAUAUCAAAUAAAUUAUACGGCGGCUCGGCCGACCAAUUAAUAAUAAACAGAAUAUAAGGCGGCUCGGCCGACCAAUAAAUAAUAAACAGGAUAUAAGGCGGCUCGGCCGACCAAUAAAUAAUAAACAGGAUAUAAGGCGGCUCGGCCGACCAAUAAAUAAAUUAAAUUACUAGUAAAUAAUAUAGGCGGUAUUCCGGCCAUUAUAACAUGAUAUAAAUAAUAGUAGAGGCGGUAUACCGACCAUUAUAACAGGGUAUAAAUGAUACAAAUAAAUUUUACCGAAUCGCAGAGUGAUCGUGCUGAUAACGUGUUAUGAAAUAACUUAUAAUUUAUAGUAUCGAGAAAUUUAAAUAAGAGUAGAAUUUAAUACCCGUAGGAAGCAAAUAACACUAGUAUAAGGGAGAGAGUUUAUUAUAAGGAAGAAGAAGAAGAUGUAAUGGUUCUUUGAUUAUAAACUCUUGUUCUUGUUUAUGGUGUACAAAAGAGUGAGAUGAGUGAUGGUAUUUAUAGUGAACAACAAUACAUAAAAUAACAAAGAUAGUGCUUAAUUUGGUAAAUGAGUGGGUGAUCAUAGUGUUUGAUGAGUAGAUGAUCAUAGUGCUUGAGUUGGUAAAGGAGUGGAUGAUCAUAGUGCUUGAGUUUGGUAAAGAAGUGGAUGAUCAUUUCAAUGCUUAAUUUAUAACAAUAACUAUAAUUCAGUUCUUUUUGCAAAUCAUUCUUAUACAUGUUUACAUGAACGAGAUUAAAAUCAUUUUAGUGGGUGUAUCUUUUAAAUAUUAUAGCUGUAGAUAGUUUUUCUUUUUCCUUGUUUUGCUGGAAGUAGUAUUUAUAAAAUAUAAAUAUUAAUUUCUUUUGCCGUAACUAUUUGGCGGAAGACCAGUAUCGUAGUUUACUGACAUUGGUCUCACUCACUCACUCACAAUAUAGUCUAAAAACUCUUUAAAGGUCUUUUGUUUUCUUCUUCGUUUUUUCUUGGAUACAAUACGAUUUCUUGUCUUUAUCCAAGAAAAAUCAAGUUCAACGAAAAGAGCGGGAACGAGUGUUCUAAUAACAUAUUUUUCAAUUUUGUACAGAGAAAGUAUAUGAAGAUGAAAGCAUAUGUGUAUAAACAACUAAAGAUGCAUGGAGUCAAUGAGAAGUGGAUUCCAUUGUCAGCAAAAGAGGCAAGUAACCAAACUUUUUCCACCAAUACAUUGAGAAAAGUUUGAUGGAAUCCUUUUUCAAUUAUUAAACCUAUCACUACUCGUGGAAAAAUAAGGACUCACAUCUUCGUUUCCAAAUUUCACGUGAAUAUUACAGAACUGAACAGCUCAGUUUUGAAAAAAGAAAAAAAAACAGCUCAAUAUUUAAAAAUUUGAUAUAAACAUCGCUAUAAGCCUAUGCUAUAGCCACCGUCAAUAUUUUAAUAUAAUAGUCGUACAAAGAUCUACAAUCUAUGGUCGGAUUAUCAAUUUCUGUCUGCAGAUCUUGCCGAGUUUCUAGAAACCCUAAGCAAAUUAAAGUCUUUAAGAAAUAUAUAUAAUAACCUCAAGCAUAGCUAAGGAUUUUUUUAUCAGUUUUCUUUAUACUAAAAAAGUUACGAUGCAUACAUUUUCAUAUUUCUACAAUAUUCAUAUCCUUUUUUGUCUUGGAAACAGCCAGCCAGUUUAUGUAACCAUCAAAUGUAUUCCUUCAUGAAUUUUUAAUAUUACCAGACGAAAAGAGUAUAAGGGGGUCAGUUGAGUGAAAACUCAAUUUUAAUUUCUUCGGCCAAAAUAUAUAAUGGAUACUCUGAUGAAAAUGAUUAAUUGACUUUUACUGCAAGUCUGCAAGUUGAAUUAAAGAAAGGAAAGUAAUAUCUCCAUAUUUGGUUGGGUCCCUGGGCAUGUUAAGUGAUUAUCAUGAAUAUCAUCGAUGGUCACAGUAAUAUUAUAAUGUAGAUGUAGUGCACGAUAUGUUCCUACCAAUUGUGAUAGUGGAGUGGUAUCCAUUAAAAAGAGCUAAAGGAUUCUCUCGUUCAACAAUAUACAUGCAGAUGGGUAUAUAUGUAAAGAAAAGAGAAAAGUACUUCCAAUACUAAAAGUAGGGAGACAAGAGUUAUCAUUUCAUGGUCUCUUUCACCAACAUUAAUUUAAGAGCAUGUGAAGCAAAACUUUUGAUUUUCUUUCUUUGUUCACUGUGAUAGAAUUUUAAGAACUUCUGUCUUUUGGCUACUUAUUAGGUUUCCCGUGUGAGUUGUGCAAAAAUUAGAUAUCUUUUGUGUAUUAGGGACUCGCGACCUUCAGCCAUGUAUGUCUUAUAUACUAAAACACUAAACUGAUUAAUCUAUAACUCUAUAAGUUAUUUUUCAACUAAGUUUUGCAACCGAAAAGGCGUAAACUCCAGAGAAAACACUCUUAACUAGGCGGAACCAAUAUGACAAUUUUACUAAAAUGUUAUUAUUAUAUUCAAAUAUCUCAUAUAUAUUAAUAUAGAAACAUUUAAAAAGUUAUAACAUGUAGUUUGUACAUACUAAUUAAAAAAUGUUUUUCUGAAUUGUCACAUAAUUGGAAUGCUAAUUUUGUUUACGUGUCAGCUUGAAAAUCAAUUAAUAAUUUUGUUUGUCCAAAAUUAAAUUGGUAGGAAAUGUUAUAUUAUAUAGUAUGUCCAUUAUGAACCAUUCAUUUAUCAAAUUGAAAUUAUUAUAUAUUAUUUCCUUAAAUAAAACAUACGGAAUUACCUAAUGUGAUUAAGAUAUAUGUGGUAAUUAAUGAUUUUAAAUAAUAAAGAUUUGCUAACAAUUUGUAUAUUUUCUAUCAUUUUUGUUUAAUUAAUUAUUAUUAAAAUAAAUUACACAAUUACAUUAAUCAUAUAAUAAAAGUUUAGAUUUUUCUUGUAUAUGUUGUAUUUUGAAUUUUUCAAAACAAGUAUAAAUUACUAAAAACUGUUAAAAGUGUCACAUAAACUUUUGUGAUCAAAGUUUAAAUUUUUUUCUUUAAUAAGAUACAAUGAUUGUAAAAUCAUAUGAAUAAAUAAUUUUAUUUUAAUAGGUAUUUAUGUUAAUAUAUAUAUAUUUUUAUAUCGUUUAAAUUAAACUAUGCAUCAUAUGAAAAUACAUACUUAAUUAUAUUUUGAUAUCUGCGUUGAACAUAUAUUGAAAAGUUAAUAUUUUAAUUUUGAAAUCUUCAUUGUUAUUUUUUAAAUGCUUAUAAAUUAUUGAAACCACUAAACAUUCCACAUUAAAAAAAAUCGUUGGUGUAAAAUUUUGGUACACAAAUAUACAAAUAAUCAUAAAAUCAUAUGAGUAGAAACUUCAUUUAAUAAAUAUUCAUAUCAAAAGUGUACUAUAUAUAUAUGUUAAUAUCAUUUAAAUUUAAUUAUAUAUCAUAUAUGAUAGAUAAGAUUGAUUGUUUUGAUUUAUUUACCCUAAAAUAAUUACGAAUAAACAAGAACGGUCAUUUGAUUUAUAUGCGCACGCCAAUUUAUUACAUAAACAACGAAUAAAUCAAGCCCACCGACAAAAAAUAGAAGUUCUUGCAGAUAUUGAAAUAUUCAAGCUUGAGAUUUUUUCGUUUGCUACCUAACAAGUAACAACAAUAGUUAAGGCGGUUUGUCGUUACUUAAACUUUGUUACAACAAGUAUGAAUCGAGGAGUAGGUUAGCUAUCAGCUACGUUAGAAAUUAUGAAACAAACAAAACCCGUAAUCAAUUAUAAUUACAUUAUAAGAUUUGAGCUUAUAUGAUGACUGGUGACCCUAUAAACCCUAGUGGGCAGUUCUUUCAAACUCGUGAAUCCAUUAUCAUCCACAAACUCAAUUUUAUAAAUUUAGUUUGAAAGUAGUAAUUCUAACCUCUACAAAUAAUAUACUGACCAUCACCAAGGUCAAACAAUCUAUGAACUAACCUAUGUUGACACAAAACACUACUUACAUUACAGGACAAGAAGAUCCGACUCUAGAUCUUCAGGACCUACCCGACCCGACAAAGUUGCUUUGGGCUCUUAGGACUUUUGGUUGUUGGUCGUUAUCUCCCACCCAUCUCUCCGUAAAUCAAAAUAUUAAAAUAAAAUAUCUCAAAAGUUAAAAAUCAUUCAAGCACACCCCCACAAAGGCGACAAGUAAAACCUCUAUAAUUAAUUAAUUACUAAAUUUCAGUUAUUACUAGAGAAAACUGAUUACAUUAUGAAGCCAGAAACAUAACAUCACAUUUAGAAGAGAAAAAAAAUCAGUGAAGCUAAUGUCUUGAGCUUUAGAUACAACAUAAUAUCCAUCUCCACCAACCGGUGGUAGAUGGAAAAACCUUAAGCAUAAAAAGAAGAAAACAUAGAAACCUUAGUUCAACACAUCAUGGAGCCAACACAUGAGUGUGAAAAUGCAUUUGAGAUACAACACUCAAAAAAACAAAACCACAGCCAGCAUCCCUAUAGAAAUAAAUAAAAAUAGCAAACUCUCACAUAGUAUUAAAUAAAACCAAGGGAGUUUUUUUUGUGGUCUUUCUUUCUCAUCACUCUAAAUCUAAACCCUAAAUGGAUCAGACUCUGUCUCCCACAAUGGAGCAUAACCAAAAACCCUAAUGUACAAAGACCACUCUCACUUGACCCACUAAGGCACUAAGUGAGAUUAAAACCCUGAAAUUGACCUAUGUGAUGGAAUAUUAGAUGACUAAUAGUACUACUUGAGUAAGAAUCAAGAUCAGCAGCAGCCAGAAGUGUGUCGGUUAGUGGAGAAGAACUUUCUGAUACUUAGUUUUUGAAUACGACCCAUCUGAGAAUAAUACUCUCUUUCUGUUGAAUUUUCCACAGCCAUUGCUGACAUUUGGGCACUGGAUGGUGACUAGAGGGAUCUCGAAAGUCUUGAGAAGCGGUGGUGGGUGUUGCCAUUGAGGUAAUGGACCGGCUAAGAGCAGUGUCUGAAGCAAUGGCCCUGCCUUCAUAACAGCUUGUAAGAGCUUGCCCUUUUCAGGCAAUGGCUUGUCUGGAAACAAUGGAUCCAUAAUCUCAUUUCCUGAUACUUCUUCAAGCUGAGAUGAGUGUGGGUUCAUGACAUGAUCAUUUGGUGACAUAAAGCUCUCCUCACAAUCUGAGGAUGUGAAACACUUGUUGGAUGUAAGUUGUUGAGGAUGCAAUGUUUCAUCUUCAAUGCUUGAAGCUCCUGAUAAAGGAGGAGUCAUAUGAUUUUGCUGCUGGUGUUGUGGACGCGUGAGGUUAUCGGACAUGAGACGCUCGCAUUUCUGGAGAGCUUCGUCUCUUUCUUUAAUGGUUUUGGUUAAGAUGUCUUUGAGCUGGAUCAGUUGUUCAUCUCUUUUCCUUAUUUCCUCAUGAGCAAACAUCUUUGUUUGUUCGAG